GGGGAGGUCGCAUAGUCCGGCUUAGUGCGCCCGCCUGCUAAGCGGGUACUGGGUAUAAAGCCCAGUCGAGGGUUCAAAUCCCUCCCUCCCCG
rnacentral:tRNA from 1 species